rnacentral:rRNA from 1 species
AACGUAGGACGCGAGCGUUAUCCGGAGUUACUGGGCGUAAAGCGUGCGCAGGCGGUUAUGCAAGACAGAUGUGAAAUCCCCGGGCUUAACCUGGGAACCGCAUUUGUGACUGCAUAGCUGGAGUACGGCAGAGGGGGAUGGAAUUCCGCGUGUAGCAGUGAAAUGCGUAGAUAUGCGGAGGAACACCGAUGGCGAAGGCAGUCCCCUGGGCCUGUACUGACGCUCAUGCACGAAAGCGUGGGGAGCAAACAGG